CACAAGGGGGUGGAGCAUGUGGUUUAAUUAGACGCAACGCGCAGAACCUUACCAGGGUUUGACAUCCUGCGACCGCCCUAUAAUAGGAGUUUUCCCGCAAGGGACGCAGAGACAGGUGCUGCAUGGCUGUCGUCAGCUCGUGUCGUGAGAUGUUGGGUUAAGUCCCGCAACGAGCGCAACCCUCGCCUUUAGUUGCCAUCAUUCAGUUGGGCACUCUAGAGGGACCCCCGGCGACAAGCCGGAGGAAGGUGGGGAUGACGUCAAGUCCUCAUGGCCCUUACACCCUGGGCUACACACGUGCUACAAUGGCGGUGACAGGGGGCAGCUACUUCGCGAGAAGCGGCUAAUCCCAAAAAACCGUCCCAGUUCAGAUUGUACUCUGCAACUCGAGUACAUGAAGGUGAAUCGCUAGUAUCGCAG
rnacentral:rRNA from 1 species